rnacentral:lncRNA from 1 species
AUGGGAAUGGGACACAAGGAAUGGGAAUGGGACACAAGGAAUGGGACACAGAUUUGGAAUGGGACACAGGGAUGGGAAUGGGACACGGGAAUGGGACACAGGGAUGGGACACAGGGAUGGGACAUGGGAAUGGGACAUGGGGAUGGGACAGUGGGACACGGGAUUGGGAAUGGGACACAGGGAAUGGGACAUGGGAAUAGGAUUGGGAAUGGGACACAGGGAUGGGACACAGGGACGGGAAUGGGACACAGGGAAUGGGAUUGGGAUACAGAGAUGGGAAUGGGACACAAGGAAUGGGACACAGGGAUGGGACACAGGGAAUGGGACACAGGGAUGGGAAUGGGACACGGGAAUGGGACACAGGGAAUGGGACACAGGGAUGGGUGGCUCUGCUCGGGACAAUGGGACACAGGGAAUGGGACACAGGGAUGGGUGGCUCUGCUCGGGACAUUCCUGGGAAUGGGGAUGGGGAUGGAUGGAAUUCCUGUGAGGGGAAGAGGGAGGGGAGAACUCGGCUCCAAAAGCCGCAGGAUCUGGAGAAACGUGGCUGUGAAGACAGAAGGAAUUCGGGAGAUGCUGGCUCAGCUGGAGAGGGAAAAUUCCCUGGAUUCUGGGCGGGAAUGUGUCCAUUUAAAGGCGGGACAGCCCUUCGGGAAUGUUCCCAGGGAGAAGGACACUGUUACUGCGCGAGGAGUUACAUUUAUCCUCCCUGGGGAAUCCCUCGGAUCCCUGGGAAGCAAAAGCGUCCUUGGAGCUGGAACUGGGGGCUGGGAUGCUCCUGGAAUGUUCCUUUUCCCAUUUCCCACCUCUCUUUUCCAUCCUGGGGGUGCUGGGAGCCGCUGGCUGCUGCCUGAUCCCGCUGCUGGGAUCCAGAGGGGAUCCAGAGGGGAUCCAGAGGGGAUCCAGAGGGGAUCCAAAGGGGAUCCAGAGGGGAUCCAGAGGGGAUCCAGAGGGGAUCGAGCCCUUCCCUGUGUCCCCAGCACCCCGAGCCCGUCCGGCACCCCGAGUUGUGCCAGGAGAGGUUUGGGUUGGAAUUUCGGGAAGGGAUCUCUCCGCUGGAAGGGCCCCAGCCCUGGCAGAGCUGCCCAGUCCCGGGAGGGGUUCCGGGCAUCCCGGUGA